rnacentral:SRP_RNA from 1 species
UGCUAGAUGGGGAGUCAGCGGUGCCCUGUAACCUGCAAUCCGCUACAGCAGGAUCGAACGCCCACCGAGGCGAUAUAUAUGGAAUGCAGCUAUAAAUAAGGAGUGUUGAUCGUAAGGUCUUGUACAAUCUCACAUUGUGAACCGUGUCAGAGUUUGAUCGCAGCAGCACUAAGCAAAGGUUGGGAUGUGUUACGAGGAAGCUUUAAAGGAGCCACCUGUUUAUAUUCCGGUUCGGUAUCUAUCGUCGGAGUGGGUGC